GACACAAUCCGCAGCCCCUGGGUCUGUGCAGUGACCAGCCAGUCCCUGAGAACUUUCCCCUCCAGCAUCAGGGAAAAUGGGAUUUUUGCUCCUUGUAAUUUUCGCGGUAGCCUCUUUGGAAGGUGUCCGGUCCCAGGUGCAGCUGGUGGAGUCCGGAGGGGAUGUGAAAAAGCCCGGAGACUCUCUCCGCCUCUCCUGCAAAGCCUCCGGGUUCACCUUCAGCAGCUACCGGAUGGACUGGGUCCGACAGGCUCCCGGGAAGGGGCUGGAGUGGGUUUCAAGCAUUUACAGUGAUGGGAGCCAACAAUUUUACGCAGACUCAGUGAAAGGCCGAUUCACCAUCUCCAGAGACAACCCCAACAACCUGCUGUAUCUGCAAAUGACCGGCCUGAAGCCCGAGGACACCGCCCGCUAUUACUGUGCGAGAUACACAGUGAAACGAAACCGGUCCUAA